AUUUGGGUUUAUUAUAAAAUAUUGUUUAUCAUUUAGUUCUGGCCAUUAACCUUACCUAUUAAGUUAUACAUUGUGUCCUACUUUUUAUUUUACUUUGACUGUCUAACACCAGAUCAUGAUUUUAUGUGUUGGGAUAGAUCACUGAUGUUCAAUGGAUUUGAAUAAUAAUCUCAUAAUUGUUAACCUACUCUGUCUAAUCAUGCUAACACCAUUGGCAAUGGAAUUGAGCAGUGAUGUAGCCAGGAUUUCUAAUCGGGGCCUUCAAGUGGGACUGAAAUCCCCGGGAGGGGCCUGCACUAGUUUGAAUAAAGUUUGUUAUUAUGUAAAAAUGUAUUUGGACCCCCAAGCUAUCCAUGUAUAAUAUAGUACAAUGUAGACUUUUUAAAUUCUAGUUAAUAAAGUGCCAUUUUGGGGGGCUAUUUUAAUGUGUUUUGGUGAUUUGAAAUAACCAUGCAGUUAACACAUGUUCAACUACUUAAUUACAAACAAGUCUGGAACACUUAAAACAUUUUGACACCCACCCCCCCACCCCCCUCUGGAAUUGACUUGAGCCUUUUAGACCUCUGGAUUUUAGUUGCAACUUAGAAAAGUGUUCUGACAUACAGUGAUGAGUUGUGUUUGUAAGAAAAUUUAAAAUUUGUGCAAAAGCAUUUCUCAAAUGGGUUGUUACAGAAAAGAUCCACACUCCCCCCACAGAGGAAAUUUCUGCCGUUCCGAGGGGGAGGGGGAAAAAAUUGUUUCUGAUAAUAGUAAAUGUAUAAUUAGGACAUCCAAAGGGGUGGGAGGGAUUAACUUCCAAUUUCCUCCAUGGGGGUGGUAUGGGUGUUUUCUGGAAUGAUCCAAUAUAACAGUGUUUUUUUUUUCAAAUCUAGUCAAGCUGUCAAAUUGUCAAUCCUUGUACAUGGGGAGGGGCAAUUUUGGAGAAAGAAAAAUUGUGACCGAUCAGGUUGGGGGUCCACCUGUAGGCUUGGCCAUAGGCAUCAGGGGUGAAACUAGCCCCUUUUAAUUAGGGAGGUGUCUGCUAGAAUUGUCCUGCGAUAGCCAAUGAUGGGCAAUAUUUACUUCACAGUUGGGUAAUAUUGGUUUAUUAUAAAAAUAAAUAGGAGAAAUUAUUCCCUCAAUAUUGGGGGAAAUAUGCUAUAUAAUGAUUGAAAAUUUAGUUCAUUUUGAUAAACAGUCAUUUAAUAUAUGUGCUAUCAACAGUUUCUUUAUGUUAUUAAGUAUUAACAGUUUACAAUGUUUGUACAUUAGAGAUUUAGAGGCACUAAUAACUCAAUAAUAAAU